GCCGUUGUUGCCUAAUGGCGAGGCAGAUGAUUUGUAAUCAUCAGACGGUGGUUCGAUUCCACCCAGCGGCUCCA
rnacentral:tRNA from 1 species